AAAAGUGAGACGGAGCUCAAAGCCCUGUGCAUCGACCAGUUGGAUGUAUUUCUACAGAAAGAGACGCAGACCUUUGUUGAUAGACUGUUCGAAGCUGUGAACUCCAAAAGCUACCUACCUCAGCAAGACCAUCAGCCAGGCACCGCGGUCAAAGCAGAGGCGACCAGGACGGACAAGGACGACCAGAGGAAAGAUGAGCCAAGUCGUGAG